GAUGAACGCUAGCGGCAGGCCUAACACAUGCAAGUCGAGGGAGAAGCCCUUUCGGGGGCAGAAACCGGCGCACGGGUGCGUAACGCGUAUGCAACCUACCUUUCACAGGGGGAUAGCCCGAAGAAAUUUGGAUUAAUACCCCAUAAUAUUAUUGGAUGGCAUCAUUUGAUAAUUAAAACUGCGGUGGUGAAAGAUGGGCAUGCGUCCUAUUAGCUAGGUGGAGUGGUAACGGCACCCCAAGGCUACGAUAGGUAGGGGUCCUGAGAGGGAGAUCCCCCACACUGGUACUGGGACAGGGACCAGACUCCUACGGGAGGGAGCAGUGAGGGAUAUUGGUCAAUGGUCGGAAGACUGAACCAGCCAUGCCGCGUGCAGGAAGAAUGCCUUAUGGGUGGUAAACUGCUUUUAUAUGGGAAGAAUAAGGCGUACGUGUACGUUGAUGACGGUACCAGAUGAAUAAGCAUCGGCUAACUACGUG
rnacentral:rRNA from 1 species